rnacentral:lncRNA from 1 species
AAUUACUAUUAUAAAUAUAAAUAAAUAAAUAAAAUAUCCUACAGCGUAUAUGAAGAAAAUAAAAAAUAAUAAACUUAUGAAACAAUUUGUGGAAGUGUGGUGCAGUUUUAAAGUGUGUGAUAUAGUUAUCUUAGUGUGACCUGUUUUGUGACCGGUCAGCGACCGGUCUGCGACCGGUUUGCGGCCAAUGUGUGACCGGUCGGCGGACGGUUUUGUGACCGGAUUGUGACCGGAUGCCGCGUGGCUGUGACCGGUCGCCGGUUUUGGGAUGUGCCGCCGCCCGGAUUGCUGGCUUUGUUCAUAUGUGAAGCCUAGCUUGCAUGCAUCGACAAUAAGCAAUGAAAUGCUAUGCAGUUAUAAGCGUUCACGAAUAAUUUAGCCUAAGCAAAAUAUAUGUAUGUAACACCACUAUGUUAUGUUACAUAUAUCACAUAUAUAUAUUAUAUAACUUUAAAAAUAACAUAACACUAAUGUAAUAUGUAUUCAUAAUAUAUAUUUUUGACAUGUAAAAUAAACUACAUUGUAAAACCAUUCACUUGUAACAAAAUAGUGACACAAUUUUAGCCUAAAAAAAUAUAUUCCCGAGUUUCGAGUUAGGUUUCAUUUGAUUUGUAAAUUAUUAUCGUGAAACGACUUCCAAUUAUUGUAAUAGAUUUUGCCAUUUCUUGUUUUUUCUUUUGUGAAAUUGGUAGAUUUUUAUUUUACAUCUGGCAACUCUUCAUUGUGUGUGGUAGAAUCAGUUGUUUCUGUAAAAAUUACACUUAUAUAAAGAUAUCAAGCAAAAUUAAGUGGCAAAAUGUUUAUCUCUUUAUCUUAUCACAAUUGUGAAACACUAUUUUUUUAUUUAUUUUUCCAUAUCUCACAUGAUUUUGAUAAAUAAUUUUUUUGUUUGGUUUGAACAAUUUACGGAUUAGCUAAAUCUUCCCAGAUAUAUAGAAUCUGUAGCAGUUACAAUUAAGACAAUUUGUAACAUUAUAAUAAUUUGAAAUUGUGAUGUCAUUUGUAUUAUUUAACAUCUACAAAGUUGAUUUUUUAUUUUUUUCGUUUAUAUGAAGUUGUUUCACGCAUAACCUCUCUCGGAGCUCUGGUGUUGUAUGAAUAAAAUACUUAAUUGGUAAGGUUUGUUUAGAUAGUGCUUUUUGGUAGAAAUUUAAGGUAAUAAAGUGGCAACACUGUAUACAAUCGAGUCAUAGCCGAAAGCUUAUUUCGUAUUUUUUUUCAUGUUGGCAAUUUACAUUAGUGGAGACCAUGAACUAGGGCUGUGAAAGCAGUUAGUUUAAAAAAAAAACACUAGGUAGGACUAUUGGAUUUGGGGUACAAAUCUGUUAAAAAAUAAGACUAGAUAGGUAAUUUUAAUGUUUUGGCACGUUCUAAGUUAAAUCUCUAAGGCAUUUAAACUUAAAUUUUGCAUAUUUUUCAGAUAAUGUACAUUGAUAAUUUGAAAGCUUGUUUCUCCUCUAUGGAAUGUUCAAAACUAAAAAUCUCGUAUAAAUAAAAGUAAUAAAAGUCUAUAAGAUUCCUCAUUAGUAGAGAAUAGUUAAAAAAAAACAACAUAUAGAUUUUAUAUAAUUUCAUAGUUUGAUGUAAUUUUUUAUUUGCUAAGUGCUUAAAUAUCAGGAUUACGUUUUAAUAUAUGAAAUAUGUUGCCAAAAUAAAUUAAUAUUGUUAAGUAAAGUGCAUUCAACUCUAAAAAAAUACGAAAUAACUAGUACACUCUAAAAUCAGUGUGUAGUUUACAUUAUUUUUUUUUUGGUUUAUUGAAAAAUAACACUGUUUCAAAUAAUUGUGGGCACUUAUUUUUUUGUAACUGGUUUGGGCACUUAUUUUGAAUUUAAAAAAAAAACAUAGAAUGUUGAAAAAUUAUUACAUUAUUGAGAAAUAUUGCGUGCUUAUAGAUCUAUACUUUCUAAGUAAAAUUAAUGUCAUAAAAACUUUUCACUUUUCUUGUGGGUCUUAUUCACUGGGUUAGAUUAUUCGUCUGUCAGUAGAAUUGGCUAGUGCAAACUGUAAUAUGUUAUAAAGUGUUGUCUCUUACUGACUACACACUGAUUGAGCUGUCGAUACAUGUACAGUGUACAUCUGGCUCUUUCAUUUAAUUGGAAUUGUAGUACCUUCAAAGACGUGUGGAUCUCGAGGAUUUUUUUAUAAAAAAAAAUUAUAGUAUGAAAAAAUUAAAAUUAAAAAUUGUACAUUUGUUAAUAAAUUAAUACAUCUGCUUUCUGAAAACUGAAAUUCGUAUUCUGUACUAUGAAGUUACUAGUCAUUAGAAAUUAUGACAUGCAAAAAUGUUUGUGGAUAUCAUCAGACUGCCAAGAUUAAGCAGUUUAAUUAAACUGAAAAAAUAUUAAUUAAUUAUUAAUAAUUAUUAAAAAUAAAAUUAAAACAUUUUUGUUUGUCAGGUGACCAAGACACUGUUCUUAUUAUUUUUGUUAUCACCAUUUUAUAAUGCUGUCGGUCAAAUCAAAACGUUUGAUUAUUACCAUGUUUAAUUAUAUAAGUAAAUGAAAUUAUAGAAUAUGAAUUUCAGUUUAAUUAAAAAAAUAGUGAAAUUGUUAAAUAAAAUCACUUCGUUUAGGCGUUGAAACGUCGCAAAGACUGGCUCUAGUAUGCAUAUUUUGUAGAAAAAUUGUAAAAAGUUGACCUUUCCUUUUGGGUAGCACUAUGUAAUUUUUGUGCAUGUAAAAUUGUUUUAAUGGUGUAUUUUGACUGCGUACUUCGGACUUCGCUUAUUGAUUAUUAUUAUUCAAGUUUUAUCACUCAGAGUACGUAUUUACUUACCAACAGUAUUUCAGAUUGCAGUUUGUGGCCCGAAAUCGAUCAAAGGACAUAUUCUUUUAGUGGUUAACAAAUAUUUUUUACAAAAAUGUAAUAAAUAAAGAUAACAGUUCGAACAUAAACAGAUUUUGAAGUCAUACUGAUUGAUUAACUGCUCCUACGUUCAAUAACCGCCAAUUUGUUACUUUUUUAACUGUCGUCAAGGUUUUGGAUUCCUGCACUUUCAAGCCUCAAACGAUUAUCUUGUCUUAAAAGUACUCAAUGAAAUGUGAUAAGAUUUUAAUAAAUCGAACAAUAAUGUAAGUCCGCUUUUCAAUACUGCCACUUAUUAUAGUCAAUGUAUGAUUAUGAUGACACAACCGAUCACACAAAUUUACUAUUUUUUUUAUUGAUUGAAACUAAUAUGGCCAUUCAUUUGAUUACACGGUAGACAGUGAAAUAUUUUGCAAAGUUUCUUCGCAUUAUUAUUUCAAAAAUGCCUUUAAAUAUGAAAUUUUCUAAAAGUUGUUUGAUCAUAACACAUACCUAAUCUAUUUUUUAGUUUAAAAAAACGAUGACUAACGAUCGCUUGGUUGGUACUGGACCCUUUGAGAUUAGCAUUAAUGAAAUGCUCAAUGGAGAUUUGUUGCUGCGUUUGCCUCUAUUAUACAAAAUACGUGUACAUCGCUGUCGCAAUUAUUUGGGCUGCCAGAAAUAUUUUCAACGAAUAUAUAUUUAGAUGUGGAUUGACAAAGUUGGUCGCUAGACUUGUCUUAUAGAUAUUUCUAUUUAUAAGUAAGCCUUCUUCAAAUAAAUGAAUUUUGAAAUUUGCACCACAGACAGGAAAAAUUUACAACUGCUCUCGCCUUUUCUACCUACUGCUUAUAAAGACAUCGAGCUAGGUUUGAAUUGUCACCUUUUUAGGCUUCGGCAGGAUUUGCGACAGUUAGGUUCAUAUUUGUUUCAAUCAAAAAUACCCAUAUAAUAUGUCACUUAUUUUCUUAGAUUUAAUAAUUUAAAUAUAAAUCCGGCAUUUGACUAGAAGAUUAGC